rnacentral:rRNA from 1 species
AAAAAUAUAAUUCAAUAAGCGGAGGAAAAGAAACNNNNCAACAGGGAUUGCCCUAGUAACGGCGAGUGAAGCGGCAACAGCUCAAAUUUGAAAGCUAGCCUUCGGGUUCGCAUUGUAAUUUGUAGAGGAUGCUUUGGGUAAAACGCCAGUCUAAGUUCCUUGGAACAGGACGUCAUAGAGGGUGAGAAUCCCGUAUGUGACUGGAAAUGUUAACCUAUGUAAAGCUCCUUCGACGAGUCGAGUUGUUUGGGAAUGCAGCUCUAAAUGGGAGGUAAAUUUCUUCUAAAGCUAAAUAUUGGCGAGAGACCGAUAGCGCACAAGUAGAGUGAUCGAAAGAUGAAAAGCACUUUGGAAAGAGAGUUAAAAAGCACGUGAAAUUGUUGAAAGGGAAGCGCUUGCAAUCAGACUUGUUUAAACUGUUCGGCCGGUCUUCUGACCGGUUUACUCAGUUUGGACAGGCCAGCAUCAGUUUCGGCGGCCGGAUAAAGGCUCUGGGAAUGUGGCCUCCACUUCGGUGGAGGUGUUAUAGCCCAGUGUGUAAUACGGCCAGCCGGGACUGAGGUCCGCGCUUCGGCUAGGAUGCUGGCGUAAUGGUUGUAAGCGACCCGUCUUGAAACACGGACCAAGGAGUCUAACAUCUAUGCGAGUGUUCGGGUGUCAAACCCCUGCGCGUAAUGAAAGUGAACGGAGGUGGGAACCGCAAGGUGCACCAUCGACCGAUCCUGAUGUCUUCGGAUGGAUUUGAGUAAGAGCAUAGCUGUUGGGACCCGAAAGAUGGUGAACUAUGCCUGAAUAGGGUGAAGCCAGAGGAAACUCUGGUGGAGGCUCGCAGCGGUUCUGACGUGCAAAUCGAUCGUCAAAUUUGGGUAUAGGGGCGAAAGACUAAUCGAACCAUCUAGUAGCUGGUCUCAAGAAAAUCCCCCCCCCCAGAGAAAAAAGGGAAGUGGC